GGUUAAGUGACUAAGCGUACACGGUGGAUGCCUGGGCAGUCAGAGGCGAUGAAGGACGUACUAACUUGCGAUAAGCGCAGAUAAGGCAGUAAGAGCCGUUUGAGUCUGCGAUUUCCGAAUGGGGAAACCCAACUGCAUAAGCAGUUACUGUUAACUGAAUACAUAGGUUAACAGAGCAAACCGGGGGAACUGAAACAUCUAAGUACCCCGAGGAGAAGAAAUCAACCGAGAUUCCGGUAGUAGCGGCGAGCGAACCUGGAUUAGCCCUUAAGCACUCGGUGAAGUAGGUGAACAAGCUGGAAAGCUUGGCGAUACAGGGUGAUAGCCCCGUAACCGACGCUUCAUCGAGCGUGAAAUCGAGUAGGGCGGGACACGUGAUAUCCUGUCUGAAUAUGGGGGGACCAUCCUCCAAGGCUAAAUACUCCUGACUGACCGAUAGUGAACCAGUACCGUGAGGGAAAGGCGAAAAGAACCCCUGUGAGGGGAGUGAAAUAGAACCUGAAACCGUGUACGUACAAGCAGUAGGAGCACCUUCGUGGUGUGACUGCGUACCUUUUGUAUAAUGGGUCAGCGACUUAUAUUCAGUGGCAAGGUUAACCGUAUAGGGGAGCCGUAGCGAAAGCGAGUCUUAACUGGGCGCUCAGUCUCUGGAUAUAGACCCGAAACCGGGUGAUCUAGCCAUGGGCAGGUUGAAGGUUGAGUAACAUCAACUGGAGGACCGAACCGACUAAUGUUGAAAAAUUAGCGGAUGACUUGUGGCUAGGGGUGAAAGGCCAAUCAAACUCGGAGAUAGCUGGUUCUCCCCGAAAGCUAUUUAGGUAGCGCCUCGGACGAAUACUACUGGGGGUAGAGCACUGUUAAGGCUAGGGGGUCAUCCCGACUUACCAACCCUUUGCAAACUCCGAAUACCAGUAAGUACUAUCCGGGAGACACACGGCGGGUGCUAACGUCCGUCGUGGAGAGGGAAACAACCCAGACCGCCAGCUAAGGUCCCAAAGUAUUGCUAAGUGGGAAACGAUGUGGGAAGGCUCAGACAGCUAGGAUGUUGGCUUAGAAGCAGCCAUCAUUUAAAGAAAGCGUAAUAGCUCACUAGUCGAGUCGGCCUGCGCGGAAGAUGUAACGGGGCUAAGCAAUACACCGAAGCUGCGGCAAUGUCUUUUAGACAUUGGGUAGGGGAGCGUUCUGUAAGCCGUUGAAGGUGAAUCGUAAGGUUUGCUGGAGGUAUCAGAAGUGCGAAUGCUGACAUGAGUAACGACAAAGGGGGUGAAAAACCUCCUCGCCGGAAGACCAAGGGUUCCUGUCCAACGUUAAUCGGGGCAGGGUGAGUCGACCCCUAAGGUGAGGCCGAAAGGCGUAAUCGAUGGGAAACGGGUUAAUAUUCCCGUACUUCUGACUAUUGCGAUGGGGGGACGGAGAAGGCUAGGUGGGCCAGGCGACGGUUGUCCUGGUUCAAGUGCGUAGGCUUGAGAGUUAGGUAAAUCCGGCUCUCUUUAAG
rnacentral:rRNA from 1 species